CUAGAAACUAAUGGUGGACCAAGGUGGAGGUCUGAUGAUACCAGUGAAGACGAGGAAAUCCCCUCACCAGCUGUAUUCACUGGAGUUGUUUCUCCUGCACACACUUCAAGGGGAGUGAGAAGAAGCAGGAGGCUUGCCAGGAGAUGAUACCCCUUGCUGUUAUAGAAUCUGAAAAUGUGACAAAACAUGUAUCCCUUUUGCUGGAUGUGGCUUUUUGUUGACAGACCAGAGUUGGGAGGCAUUGAAGUUUUCUUUUUUAUAACAUUUGCUGCUUGGAUUUCUUGGAAAUAGUAAAACUCAGGUUGAAACUGAUAUUUGACGCUCCACACCACGAUCUUUCCUCUUCCAACUCUUGCACUGGUUUUCACUUGGAUGCAGCACAUAGUUUCAAAGAGCAGCUGAUGUCGCGAUUUAAAAAUUUUUGUAUGUGAGAUGAGCGAUUUGAACCUUGGUUGUAAAAAUAUUUAUCGUAACCUUUUCAAGUCGUUCCCAUAUUUGCCAAAACUUUUCUUUGAAAAGCAUGUAGAUAGAUGCGUAAAGAGACCCUGAUAUUUUUGUUUCCGGUUUCAUUUUCAAGCAGG
rnacentral:misc_RNA from 1 species